rnacentral:rRNA from 1 species
AUUGAACGCUGGCGGCAGGCCUAACACAUGCAAGUCGAACGAGUGGCGGACGGGUUAGUAAUGUAUGUGAAACUUCCCGAUGGAGGGGUAUAACUACUGGAAACGGUAGCUAAUACCGCAUACCAUCGGAUGUGCCCAGAUGGGAUUAGCGAGUAGGUGGGGUAACGGCUCACCACGACGACGAUCCCUAGCUGGUCUGAGAGGAUGACCAGCCACACUGGAACUGAGACACGGUCCAGACUCCUACGGUAGGAAGCAGUGGGGAAUAUUGCACAAUGGGCGAAAGCCUGAUGCAGCCAUGCCGCGUGUAUGAAGAAGGCCUUCGGGUUGUAAAGUACUUUCAGCGAGGAGGCGUUACUCGCAGAAGAAGCACCGGCUAACUACGUGCCAGCAGCCGCGGUAAUUC